UAUCACCAUUCAAGCAACGCACGCGCACCAUCCACACCAUCUCAAAAUAAAUGUCUCAGCAUCGCAACUGAUUUAUUGUCACCAGUGUGUGUUGUGUGCUCCGCACCGCAUUUAUAGCCGUAGAUAUGAGCACAUAGCUAAGCACGGCAAUUUAUUUUUUUGUUUCUUUUAUUUUUGACUGCAUUUCACUGAAAUGAUACCGAAAGAAAUGAUGCACGCAUGCUUGUUUACACACCUUGGCGCUUACAAGAGCUCAUAGUCACCAACACAUCUUCAUCUGUCACCUACGGGAAACUCUCCCGGCAGUGUGAGGCGAGUCCCACCGCUCGCACUUGAACCGAAGAAGGUGCACAUAAUUUGCUAGCACAGCACUCCAUGGUACAUGCUCUCCAAGACUUUUUUAAUAUUCGGGAUGACUUAUACCAUUUUUUUCUGAUGAAUGAUAGCGAAUACCAGCAAUAGAUGAUAUUUUCUUCUUGCAUUCCUUCGCAGACGAACUGCUUGACGCUCGCCGUAUAUCUCGGUUGAACAAACUCCGGGUUCUUACGGCGUAUCUUCUCAGCAGUCUUAAUCCUCUUACAGCAAUCUAGAGGUCAUCAUCUGUGUCUUGAAAACACACAAGUACAGUCCUUUCAACAACGAAAACUGAAGAAAAUCUGCUGUCGUCUACUGUUAAGUAGGAGACAGCGCGAGGGAGCCUUUUUUCAACCAUUUCGCCAACUGGAGCAGUAAAACUGAAGCGGGAGCAGCCAGACACCAGCGGGACCGAGCUCCUGUCGUCCUCCCAUCCGCAUCACUUGGAAGUGGCCACCGUGGGAAGCUACGCUGAGCUAGAGGCAGGGGACCCUCAGGCUUUGGACGAGCCCAGUAGGAAGCGACUUAAAAUGUCCACCGUUAGCAUGGAUUCGGGAAGCACCACUGGAGAAGAAGAGGUGAGUAAGUUUUCUUUGUACAUUCAGUUUCAGGAUGAUGUCCUAUCGACGCUUCAACCCUCUUGUAAUGGGACAAUGCUAUAGUAUGAGAUACUGCAGCAAGCAAGCCUUGAAUAUAUUUGUAGUAUUUCAUUAUCAUGGUAUAUCUGGAAGUAAUUCAAACAGAAACUAAGGAAAAUAUUGUUUACUACUUUCAUAUCAAGUGAAGAUUGGCCCACAUGUAUGUAGCAUCAACAAAAAUAUGUCUAUAGGACAUUGCUGGUUUGAGAAAACUUGUUCUUAUAAAAGAUGAUGGUACUUUUGCUUUUAGUCAGUCAAUCGCAACUUGGUAGUUGUUUAAUUGUAACAGGAGCUUAUGUAUUUUUACUAUUAACCAGUUUUAUGCGACAGGUGCCAGACAUAAUGUUAGAUGAUGAGCAAUUGACCCACAAAUUGCUCACUUAUGUCGAUUGUCAAAUUCGAUAGCAAUUUAUAUUUGAAAAUAUGCAAACAGUAUCAAUAGCCUUGUUGUGCAAUGCUAAGACUGUUAAAAAAACUGUUCCAUUAACUGACUGAGGUGGGAGGAUGCACUAGAUCAACGGAUGAAAUUCAGAAUUUCCAUUAUAACAUCCAUAAUCAAUCAUGCGCUAGUAUAAAUAUUCAGUCAUUUAUUCCCACCACUAAUGGCAUUUGCAAAUGCUUGACUCUAGUAUGAUGUUGUAUAGGUGCCAUUACACAAAUGAUAGAUUCAAACAUUUCAGGUAAAUCAUGUGUAUUACAUUCAAAUGGUGUUGAAUAUUUUAAUUACAUGAAUUGGACAAUGGACCCAACAAUUCCUGUGGAUUCUUUGCCAUAGAGUCAUUGAUUGAUAGAAUUAUUAUCAAUUUCCCCAGUGCUCACUUUAACGACCUCCCAUUGAAAUCAAAUUUCUAAUGAACAACAUUCGAUAAUAUUUUUCAUACAGCACAUUAUAUUAAUUUUUGCCUCCAUUCACAACAAUAUCUUGUUUUUUAAAUAAUGAAUAAACCUUUUUACUUAGAGGUAAACACAAAUGCCGAUAGAAUUGAUACCUGCAUUUUUUAGAGGCCUAGAGUUAAUGUAUUCUAUCCAUCCAUGCAAACACAUCGGCAAGGCAAUAGCAAAAAAAGAAAUUAUAUGGGACAAUGGAUGGCCAUAUGUCUAAAAUAAUUAGAAAUGAAUUCUUCAUUGUAAAUGUAGAUUGCUCUUGUGCAGCUCAUACCAAUAUUCAGACACAUACUUGAUAAGGUUACCAAUUGUAAAAUGGGAACAGAUUUGUGAGUAUAAAUGGAUGAAAAUGGGCUGCUUAUGUUUCUGUUACAUGAUCAUGAUGAUCUAGAAGGCCUCAUUCCCCCCCCCCCUGAUUAAUAACUACAUAUAAGAAGGCUUUUGCUC
rnacentral:lncRNA from 1 species